AUGAAGAACGUAGCGAAAUGCGAUAAGUAGUGUGAAUUGCAGAAUUCAGUGAAUCAUCGAAUCUUUGAACGCACAUUGCGCCCUUUGGUAUUCCUUAGGGCAUGCCUGUUCGAGCAUCAUUUACAAAUUCAAGCUCAGCUUGGUGAUGGGUGUCUGUCCCGCCUUUGCGUGUGGACUCGCCUCAAAUGCAGUUGGCAGCUUGUUCCUCGGCUCUAAACGCAGCAGAUUUGCGUCGAGCGUCGUGCGGACGGGCUCUCCAGUAAGCAAACCCCCACAAAUUGACCUCGGAUCAGGUAGGGAUACCCGCUGAACUUAAGCAUAUCAAUAAGCGGAGGA
rnacentral:misc_RNA from 1 species